AUUGAACGCUGGCGGCAGGCCUAACACAUGCAAGUCGAGCGGAUGAAGAGAGCUUGCUCUCUGAUUUAGCGGCGGAUGGGUGAGUAAUGCCUAGGAAUCUGCCUGGUAGUGGGGGAUAACGUUCCGAAAGGAACGCUAAUACCGCAUACGUCCUACGGGAGAAAGCAGGGGACCUUCGGGCCUUGCGCUAUCAGAUGAGCCUAGGUCGGGUUAGCUAGUUGGUGAGGUAAUGGAACACCAAGGCUACGAUCCGUAACUGGUCUGAGAGGAUGAUCAGUCACGCUGGGGAUGAGACACGGUCCAGACUACUACGAGAGGCAGCAGUGGGGAAUAGUGGACAAUGGGCGAAAGCCUGAUCCAGCCAUGCCGGGUGUGUGAAGAAGGUCUUCGGAUUGUAAAGCACUUUAAGUUGGGAGGAAGGGCAGUAAGUUAAUACCUUGCUGUUUUGACGUUACCGACAGAAUAAGCACCGGCUAACUUCGUGCCAGCCGCCGCGGUAAUAC
rnacentral:rRNA from 1 species